AGCGAUUUUUUUUUUCGUUUUCGUUAAGCAGCUUGCUGAGAAAUAUUACUGUUGUACAAAAAUAUAUCAAAUAAAUAAAAGAA
rnacentral:ribozyme from 1 species